rnacentral:pre_miRNA from 1 species
CAGGGGGCAGGGAGUCCCUCAUCCCGAUUGCGAGAGGGCGCAGGCCAGGCCGAGGGACCCCACUGGUGCACA